GAUGAAGAACGUAGCGAAAUGCGAUAAGUAAUGUGAAUUGCAGAAUUCAGUGAAUCAUCGAAUCUUUGAACGCACAUUGCGCCCAUUAGUAUUCUAGUGGGCAUGCCUGUUCGAGCGUCAUUUCAACCCUUAAGCCUAGCUUAGUAUUGGGAAUCGACUUUACUGUCGUUCCUCAAAUUCAACGGCGGAUUUAUAGCAAUCUCUGAACGUAGUAAUUUUUUUCCUCGUUUUUGAAAUACUAUAAACCUCAGCCGCUAAACCCCCAAUUUUUCUAUGGUUGACCUCGUAUCAGGUAGGAAUACCCGCUGAACUUAAGCAUAUCAAUAAGCGGAGGA
rnacentral:misc_RNA from 1 species